GCUGGGAUUGUGGCUCAGUGGCAGAGCACUUGCCUCACAUGUAUGAGGCACCAGGAUCAAUCCUCAACAGCA
rnacentral:tRNA from 1 species